rnacentral:snRNA from 1 species
CAGCUGCGUGGUGAGCACAAAGCGAACUAUUCUUUCGCCUUUUACUAAAGAAUACCGUGUGCGCGCCACAAAUAGGCAGCAUACUCUUAUUUGUUGGAGGGUGUUUUCUCUUUUUGAGAAAAC